AUGAAGUUAACAUUUUUUUUUAACCUAAGAUCCAGACCCAUUAAAAGAAACAACUGUCUCUUCUCCUCCCUGAAAAACCAAGAAUGUAACCAUGCUUGAACACACCCUUUGACAGGCAGGAGCAAGAUGCUGAAUUAUGAUGCUGUGUGCUGAAUCGGGGAACCCUGGAGGAAGUGAUGGUUUAGAUCGGGAGUUCCAUUUUGAGCAUGAAACCCGGUUCACUACAGGAUAUGCCUCUGUACUUUCUGCUGCCUUCUGCCUACAUGAUCAAUGUGAAGCCAGGCCCAGACAUGUCUCAUCUAGAAUGAUUUGAGAAGAAUUUGAUUUCACUUUUCUGAGAAGGUUGGGAAAGAUUCUGACUUUAUCCAGUUUACCAGACAUGGC